rnacentral:rRNA from 1 species
AAGCCAUGGCCAGUGCAAGUACGAGUCGGGUGCGGGCAACGCAACGACGACACUGCGAAUGGCUCAUUAAAUCAGUCGUGGUCUACAUGGUCGUGCGGCGACAAGUGUCGUCAACAGUGGAUAACUGUGGAAAUGCUAGAGCUAAUACAUGCAAUCGAGCGCCGACUUCGGGAGGCGUGCAUUUAUCAGACCGCGCGUCGGCCGGUCGGCAUUCGUGUCGGCCGUCGAUGGUGGUGAAUCUGGAUAACUAUUCGUGCAGAUCGCCGAUCCAUCGAGAUCGGGCGACGAACCGUUCGAACGUCUGACCUAUCAACUGUUGUCGGUAAGGUAACGGCCUACCGAGGUGUUAACGGGUAACGGGGAAUCGGGGUUCGAUUCCGGAGAGGGAGCCCGAGAAACGGGCUGCCACUUCCAAGGAAGGCAGCAGGCGCGCAAAUUACCCAUUUCAGACUCUGAGAGGUAGUGACGAGAAAUAACGAUGCCGGGCCUUAACGGGCGCCGACAAUCGAAAUGAGCGCAGCUCAAAAAACUGAAUGACGUGCUUCGGCUUCGGUCGAAAAUCUAUGUCGUGCGAGUAUCGAUCGGAGGGCAAGUCUGGUGCCAGCAGCCGCGGUAAUUCCAGCUCCGAAAGCGUAUGCUUACGUUGUUGCGGUUGAAAAGCUCGUAUUCGGAAUAAAGCUUUUCGCCGCUAGUGCCAAGGCCGCAAGGCCGCGGCACGAUCGAAACGAAAGAGAUGGUGCAAAAACACAAUCAAAGGCGGACGGCCGGCGUGGCUCGGAAUCGCGUUUCGGCGCGACGACAAGUUGCACGUCGAGAGUCGGUUCGCAGGUUGCCCUGAAGAAAUUGAAGCGAUCAGGGCAGGUCGAUGAUGUCGACCGAGAACAGUCGUGCAUGGUACAACGAAAGACGGCCGCGGCUCCGCCGCCGGCGUCGAGACAAUUGCGCGUGGCAAUGAUUGAGAGGAACGGACGGGGGCAUUCGUACUGUACCGGGAGGGGUGAAAUCCGUGGAUCGGUGCAAGACGACCAGAAGCGAAAGCGAUUGCCCAGGACGUUUUCCUUGAUCAAGAGCGAAAGUCGGAGGUUCGAAGACGAUCAGAUACCGUCGUAGUUCCGACCGUAAACGAUGCCGACCGUGUGGUCGCCCACGUAUUCGAAGAUCGAAGUCCCUCGUCAGCCGAAGGCCGCAAGUCGGUCGAGGCGCGAGAACGGAGAUCGGGCAUGUCGGGGUGGCCGUGCCGGGAGGGAAACCGGAGUCUUCGGGUUCCGGGGGAAGUAUGGUUGCAAAGCUGAAACUUGAAGGAAUUGACGGAAGGGCACCACCAGGAGUGGAGCCUGCGGCUUAAUUUGACUCAACGCGGGAAAACUCACCCGGCCCGGACGUUACGAGGAUUGACAGAUUGAAAGCUCUUUCUCGAUUUGGCGGAUGGUGGUGCAUGGCCGUUCUUAGUUCGUGGAACGAUUCGUCUGGUCGAUUCCGAUAACGAACGAGACUCGAAUUUACUCAUGUAUGCGGCUCGAUCGAGAACGAAGAUCGAGUCGCGUCUCGGGCGCCAGGAGUGUGCUCGAGACGCAAUGCAAUAUUCUCAGAUGAACCGGCGGCGGUAAGCCGCACGAGAUCGAGCGAUAACAGGUCUGUGAUGCCCUUCGAUGUUCGGGGCCGCACGCGUGCUACAAUGGUCGGAGCAGCAAGAGGACCGAACGAGCAACCGAUGUUGCAUCUUCCGCGUUCGCGCGUGAAGAUGGUCCGCGGGCCGAGAGGCUCGUGAAACCAAACGAAACC